UGGGCCUGAACUUGGAGUCUGGGAAUUGGACCUGAGGUCUCAGUUCCCUGUUCUAUUCACCCCGGAGAAAGAAACAAAAAUUAAAGUUCCACAUUCAGAAGCCAUCGAGAAGUGCCCUGGUUGUGACGGUCGAGGAGAUACACCUUGUCCAACAUGCAAUGCUGAUCAAGAACCUGGUUAUUACAAAGAAAAGCAGAUGACCCCAUGCCCUUCCUGUCAUGGAAGGGGUUUAAUUGCUCAUAGAGACGGGUCUGACACAAUUUGCUUGCAAUGCAACGGAAAGGGAAAUAUUCCUUGUGCUACUUGCAGUUCUCGUGGAUUGAUAAAAUGCAAUAUAUGUCAAGGUGGCGGCUCUCUUCUUGCUCGCAAUAUUGCAACCAUCAAAUGGUAAGAGUUGCAUUUUGUUAUACUGUGGGAUAUGUUACCAAUCUUUAUUAGUUAUUCUCUCUCUGUAUUCCCAUAUUAAUCUGUUCCACAAGUUUCUUAUCUAUUUGAGGAGUUUUUUUUUUCUUUUUUUCUUUU